ACAAUUGGAUUUAUCUCCGGGCUAGUGCUAUGCUUGAAGUCACUGGUCAUCGCCUCAUGGAGUCAUGGGCGACGGGGCCCUCUAGAGUUCACGCAGAGUUAUCUCGAAUUGAUGGGGGAUAUUCAGUGUUUAUUCAGCCACACUUGGUGUCUUGUGUUUGAUCUCUUUGCAAUGCAGUAACGGCACGACACCCUGAAUCACCCACAUCGUGGGAGGACACCUGACACAAGGUGGAGUGCAGUUGAGGUCUGGGACAAUCAUCUUCUGUUGCUUUCAGGUGAAUACAAGUGGACAGUUUGUUGGUGUUGCUGAAAUGACUGGUCCUGUUGAUUUUGAAAAAACUCUAGAGUACUGGCAACAAGACAAGUGGAAUGGUUAAUUCUCUGUCAAGUGGCACAUUGUCAAGGAUGUUCCCAACAACAUUCUCAAGCACAUCAUCCUAGAGAACAACAAGGGCAAACCGGUCACAAACAGCCGUGACACACAGGAUGUGGUGUCGACGGAGGCGCGGGCGAUGCACAAUGUGGGGUUGGCAGGGUUGACCUUCUGGAGCCCCAACAUCAACAUCUUCCGGGACCCGCGGUGGGGCCGGGGCCAGGAGACGCCCGGCGAGGACCCGCUGCUGGCCAGCAAGUACGCCGUCGGAUACAUCACGGGCUCCAGGACGCCGGCGCCGGCGGCGUCACCGACGGCGCGCUCAAGGUCGCCGCAUGCUGCAAGCACUACACUGCCUACGACGUCGACAACUGGAAGGGCAUCGAGCGAUACACCUUCAACGCAAAUUUUGUUUCCAGCGACAGCAGAGAGAUGUACUCCAGCAGAGGAUCAAAUGAUCAGAGAGAGGAGAUGAACCUGCCCAGCAGCAGCCGAGCCCAGCAGCAGCCCCUGGACGUGGGAGAGA